UCGAUUUUCUGUCUUCCGUGUUACUGUUUACUAAGUUAAGCCAUUAACAUGCCAUGAUGAGGAGAAGGCACAACGUUCUCUCCUGCGCAUGACGUGAGUUGUUGAUGUCGCUUCUACAACUGCCAUUUGCCAUUGAUAAUUGUUCUUUGCUUCCUUUGGGAGAGUAAGAGGGAAAGACCACCAUCUGAGAAAA